UACGUAGGGCGCAAGCGUUAUCCGGAAUUAUUGGGCGUAAAGAGCUCGUAGGCGUUUGUCGCGUCUGCCGUGAAAGUCCGGGGCUCAACUCCGGAUCUGCGGUGGGUACGGGCAGACUAGAGUGAUGUAGGGGAGACUGGAAUUCCUGGUGUAGCGGUGAAAUGCGCAGAUAUCAGGAGGAACACCGGUGGCGAAGGCGGGUCUCUGGGCCACUACUGACGCUGAGAAGCGAAAGCAUGGGGAGCGAACAGG
rnacentral:rRNA from 1 species